ensembl:lncRNA
CACAAUUGGUUUGGUUUACUUUUCGCAUCGGCCUGUGUCAAUCGAGGUUGAGUUUAGUGAGGGUUGAAAGUUUUCGAUCUAGAUUGUAGAUGGGUUGUUGCGUGUUUGUUUUUGUGGGCAUUUGACUGAACAGCCCAGACAAAUAUUGCUACCAACAUGGCACUUCGAAACAGACCACCGCAGUGUUAGAUGACUGACAAGAUCUAUGGGGGGCCCCCUUUGGGCCCCCCAUACCAACUUAGUCUUCAAAGGAAUCUAGUGCCAUGGGACUCCAGUGUCUUCAAAACAUCCUCGGAAUACAUGUGUAUGAGUGGUCCACCGAAGUGGCUUCCAGAGCCAUCUUUCGGUCUUGGUCAGGAUUUGUUACAGUUGCCCUUCAAUGUAGCAGGCUACGGGUUUGUGAAGAAGCCUGCUUUACGUAGCAUUGGAGUACAAAUAUUGUGCAAAAUGCUCAUGUAAUUGCACUAGCACUGGUAACCUGUAGAUUAGCUUAGUUUAACGUCAUUCGGUGCUGUCUGUCAAAUGUGUGGCUUACUUGAAGUCCACAAGGCCCUCUGGUAAACCACGUUGGAACACCCCUGGACAAGGUGAUUAGUCACUGGGUGUGUGCUAAAGUUUUGUUCCAUUUUUCACUAGUUGGUUAAGGUUUGGUAGAAUUGUUUGGAUGCUAGCGACGUGAUGGCGUAUGUACAAGAGCCUACCGUGGCCAGGCCGCAGUUGCGACGGCCACGGCCAGAUGGCCUAGUGUGAGUGCAACCUUGAUUGCUUUUGUAUACUGUUUACCAUUGGAUGUUUAUGCAAUUUGGCUUAAUUCAUCCGCUGUAAAGCUGCAUUUGACUAUUCCAGGGUCGUUUUGCACAGGCUUUCAAUUGACCAUGUUGACUAGUUUGUGGGAAGUUUUUUUUUGAGACCACUUAUGCAACUGGGCUGUGAACCUUGCAAUUCUAGUUGCAUAUUUGUACACGCAAGCUUGUCCAUUUCUAUCGCCAUCACUAGCACUAGCUUCAGCAUUUCCUUGUAGGCCAUUAGCUGACUUGUGUAUUGGAGCGAUGAUUUGGGUAUUUUAAGAUGCUUGAAAACCUAAAAUAAAGCAAAAUGCGUGUCUGGUGUGCAAGAGACAAUUUGUUGGCUUGCAGUAGUCGAGGAGUUGCCGUAGGUCGUAAGCCAUCUGGAGGUUGUGGCAAUGGAGGCUUGUGGUAGAUCUGCCAUCCAAGAAAGGUUAAUUCUUCUGAAGCAUGAUUAAUAGUUUAGUAAAUUGAAUCUAUUCAUAUAGAACUAUAAAAUCCAAGACUGCAGCCAGUAACUUGGAUCGCAAUAUGUGGAAAGUAUUAGUCUUCAUUUGUAAAAACAGAAUAAUUAACAUGACUAACUGGGUUUCUUCCAUUUUCUAACUAGGGGGACUUGACUGAGUGUACUGGAUUAAUCAGUAGUGGUACUUUGCUCAACAGAUUUGAUGGCAUGACUACAGGGUGACAAAGACAAUUAUUCCCUGCCUAUCAAAAGGGACUUCUAAAACAUAUCUGCUAGAACAGUUCCUAUACUUUUUGUAUAAUUUGGUCAUGCUGCAAAUUUACUUUUUGUAGUUGCUCCAUAUUUAGUUCUUUGACAGCCUCACCUGCUAGAAAAGUCUAUUCAAAUCGGCUAAAAAUAAUGAACUAAAUUAAUAGCCAUGAAAAGUUGUCACUCAUACUAAUGGCAAAUACCCCCUUUCAGUUGGUUCAACACUGAUGGUGGUUCAACACUGAUGUCUCUCUAGGCUUGAGGGAGAGCUCACAAGUAAAUUACACGAAUGUCCUGGAGCAAUUGGGAAUACACUUUUAUUUAGUCUACCUGACCAGGGACAUCUUUGAACUAUAGGUCACCUAACCCAAACUUUUCACUCUUGUUAUUUUUAGAAUCUAGCUCCAUUGCCGUUAGAAAUGGUGUCUCCAGUACUGCAAAGUGCUUCCACAAGUUUAAAAAAGAAUGGGCAGAAAAGGAACUGCCAACUAAAUCUAUUUAACAUGGGUAGAAAGUUUCCAUGGAAGCUCUUGGCUGCUGGUUCCCAACACAGCUCCACUGUUGGCCUGUGACCUUGUGUUUAACUUUUUUGGACUUUUGGUGACUUUCACAAAAGAGAAAUGAACUGGUUAAUACAAUAAACAAGACAUUUGAAACUUCAGCUACAUUUUUAUCUAUUUGUACUGCCUUUGAUUUCAACCCGUGACAUGUUUGUCAGGUGAUAACUAUGUACCUGUGACCGUAUAUCAUGGUACCAUUUUGAACUGUUUGUGGAUAUUGCAUUAAAUCCAUAUGCUUGAAACUUUUCAAUAAUGCAUAUCAACGAA